GGGCAUAUAAUUCAGUUGGUAGAGUGUUUGCUUCCAGUGCAAGAGGCCCCAGGGUUGAGGUCCUGGGGUUGAGCCCU
rnacentral:tRNA from 1 species